UGAGGGGGAGGGCACAGGAGGGCUGUGGCCCGGAGCCCGAUCAUUGGCUUUCUCCAUCCGGAUCGGGAAGGCGCUCAGGGCUCGUCAUGACGGCGGCCCAUCACUUUCCCGAAGAGCUGAAAGUGAAGAACAGGGCCACCCAAGAGCCCACAGGACUUGGGGUGCUGUGGCUGACAACAGAAAAGAUAAAGCUACAUGACGAAGAGAAGCUGGAAAACAACAUCAAGGAUGAGAAAGUGCAGUUUGUCAAUACGUUGGAUUUCAGUGACUCUCUAUUUGACCUUUGGCGACCCUAACCGGGAUCCGUUCAGACUCCCUAUGAAUUGACCCCCCCCCAGUAUUUUAUUAUUCAAGGAC